CUGGCAAGCCAGCUCCCACAGGGAAUUGUGGGGUUCACCAAAUCUGCGAUACAUCGAGAAACCUGUGGGAGCUGGCUUGCCAG
rnacentral:antisense_RNA from 1 species